rnacentral:rRNA from 1 species
UACGUAGGGUGCGAGCGUUAAUCGGAAUUACUGGGCGUAAAGCGUGCGCAGGCGGUUCGUUGUGUCGGCGGUGAAAGCCCCGGGCUUAACCUGGGAAUGGCCGUUGAAACUGGCGAACUGGAGUGUGGCAGAGGGGGGUGGAAUUCCGCGUGUAGCAGUGAAAUGCGUAGAUAUCGGGAGGAACACCCGUGGCGAAAGCGGCUCACUGGACCACAACUGACGCUGAGGCGCGAAAGCUAGGGGAGCAAACAGG